AUAAAAAUCUCCUUCAAAUCUUGUUAAAAAGCAAACUCUAACUCAGUGAUUCUGGAUUGGGCAUUAAUAAUAAGCUAUCAGGGGAUGCUAUU
rnacentral:pre_miRNA from 1 species